AGAUUGAACGCUGGCGGCAGGCCUAACACAUGCAAGUCGAGCGGUAGAGAGGUGCUUGCACCUCUUGAGAGCGGCGGACGGGUGAGUAAUGCCUAGGAAUCUGCCUAGUGGUGGGGGAUAACGUUCGGAAACGGACGCUAAUACCGCACACGUCCUACGGGAGAAAGCGGGGGACCUUCGGGCCUCGCGCCAUUAGAUGAGCCUAGGUCGGAUUAGCUAGUUGGUGAGGUAAUGGCUCACCAAGGCGACGAUCCGUAACUGGUCUGAGAGGAUGAUCAGUCACACUGGAACUGAGACACGGUCCAGACU
rnacentral:rRNA from 1 species